AUUGAACGCUGGCGGCAUGCCUUACACAUGCAAGUCGAACGGCAGCACGGGAGCAAUCCUGGUGGCGAGUGGCGAACGGGUGAGUAAUAUAUCGGAACGUGCCCAGUCGUGGGGAUAACGUAGCGAAAGCUACGCUAAUACCGCAUACGAUCUAUGGAUGAAAGCGGGGGAUCGCAAGACCUCGCGCGAUUGGAGCGGCCGAUAUCAGAUUAGGUAGUUGGUGAGGUAAAGGCUCACCAAGCCGACGAUCUGUAGCUGGUCUGAGAGGACGACCAGCCACACUGGGACUGAGACAGGCCCAGACUCCUACGGAGGCAGCAGUGGGGAAUUUUGGACAAUGGGCGGCAAGCCUGAUCCAGCAAUAGCCGCGUGCAGGAUGAAGGCCU
rnacentral:rRNA from 1 species